rnacentral:rRNA from 1 species
AUUGAACGCUGGCGGCAUGCUUUACACAUGCAAGUCGAACGGUAACAGGCCGCAAGGUGCUGACGAGUGGCGAACGGGUGAGUAAUGCAUCGGAACGUGCCCAGUCGUGGGGGAUAACGCAGCGAAAGCUGCGCUAAUACCGCAUACGAUCUCUGGAUGAAAGCGGGGGACCGAAAGGCCUCGCGCGAUUGGAGCGGCCGAUGUCAGCUUAGGUAGUUGGUGGGGUAAAGGCCCACCAAGCCAACGAUCUGUAGCUGGUCUGAGAGGACGACCAGCCACACUGGGAAUGAGACACGGACCAGACUCCUACGGGAGGCAGCAGUGGGGAAUUUUGGACAAUGGGCGCAAGCCUGAUCCAGCAAUGCCGCGUGCAGGAAGAAGGCCUUCGGGUUGUAAACUGCUUUUGUACGGAACGAAACGGUCCGGGUUAAUACCCUGGGCUAAUGACGGUACCGUAAGAAUAAGCACCGGCUAACUACGUGCCAGCCGCCGCCGUAAUAC